rnacentral:sRNA from 1 species
UCCUCUCGAAGCUGGGUUCGGAUCCCGGGCUGCUUGCAGAGGACAUAAACAACAAGUUAAAAAGCAGAGGAUGUUGUAUCGUGCCCAGCAGAAAGAAAAGUCAUGAUUUGGUCAACAAGUAAGUUCCCGGUUGGUAAAUUCUCCCCAUUUUCCAUCGCAACAGAAAGUAUAUCUAUUAUGUGUUCUACCUCUUUCUUCUCUAUCCUCUGCCGCUUAUCCUGGAGAGGGCGUUCGCAGAAGUUACGGACGUAUUGAACACCGUCUCAAACAUCGCGGUUGUGUUUUAUUGGUAAACGGGAGAAAAAAAGUCUUGUGCUAAUAAGAGAGGAAAAAAUUAGACAAACAAAGUGAACGCUAGUAGUGAUGGGGAAAAUUUUUUCUACAUUCAAUAAUAAGCCUGCUUGUCGGGUUCAGGAUUGAGUUGAAAUCAUAGCCCAUUCCAGCAAGGCCGAUAACAUCCAGAGUAGUACGCUGUGCCAAAUCAGCAAUCCUAAUGGCCUUUGGGUUUCGUUGGGUUGUUCCGAAAUCCUUUUCCUUCGCUUUGGCCAUUUCUAACCCCUUGUUCCAAAAGAUCCGAUAAAUACCCUUAACGUUCGUUGAUGCUUUCGUCACAUUGAUUUAUGCAAGUACGCUCAACUCGGACAGGAGAUCUUUUUGGCACCACGUUCAACUGUAACCUGAAACUUUCCAUAUCAAAGAAGAUGUAACUCAAUCUAUGUAUAGUUAAGCAUGACACAUUAUUAUUAACCAGAGCUGAGAGAAAGAAGGGUGAACAUAAAUCAUCAAUUAUGAAGAAAAGUUAGCCCAGCUAGUGGGAGCUGGCCUGC